rnacentral:sRNA from 1 species
AACCUGUUUUUCGAACUGUUACCGGACGGUGGCGUGGUUAGGAAACUAACAUAGAAAACGUGGUUGGAA